rnacentral:rRNA from 1 species
UACGUAGGGUCCGAGCGUUGUCCGGAAUUAUUGGGCGUAAAGCGCGUGUAGGCGGUGAUGCAUGUCGGGUGUGAAAGCCCCCAGCUUAACUGGGGAAGUGCGCCCGAAACUGCAUCGCUAGAGUGUCGGAGAGGGUGGCGGAAUUCCCGGUGUAGAGGUGAAAUUCGUAGAUAUCGGGAGGAACACCAGUGGCGAAGGCGGCCACCUGGACGAACACUGACGCUGAGACGCGAAAGCGUGGGUAGCAAACAGG